rnacentral:lncRNA from 1 species
AAAGGUGCUUUAGGAGAAGUCUUUCCCCAAAUUAUGACUGAAAAUUGAAAUAUGUAAGAACAUAUUCUAAAAUAAUGAUAGGUGCAAUAAUCAGAUGCUUCAGUUUGCAGAAUCAACCCUGAUGUGAAACAACUCUUUUCCCCAUCCAAAACAUAAGCAUUACUCAAAUACACACCAUUGAUAUUCAAAAGAAAAGCCUCAGUUAUACAUUAGAGCAUGUAAAUGAGAACUGGGAAGUUCAAAGUAAAUACACACCAUUGAUAUUCAAAAGAAAAGCCUCAGCUAUACAUUAGAACAUGUCAAUGAGAACUGGGAAGUUCAAGACACUAGAAUCCAAAUGGCAUAGCUCCAACAAAUUAUGAUUGUUGAAACAC